rnacentral:tRNA from 1 species
AUGUAGCUCAGUGGCAGAGCACUUGCCUAGCAUGCAGUCCCUGGGUUCAAUCCCCAGUAU